rnacentral:tRNA from 1 species
AAAAUAGUGCCUGAUAAAAAGGAUUAUCUUGAUAGGAUAAGUAAUGUCUAAUUUGACCUAUUUUA